rnacentral:tRNA from 1 species
GCCAGCGUAGCUCAGUGGUAGAGCAGACGCCUUGUAAGCGUCAGGUCGUGGGUUCAAAUCCCACCGCUGGCU